rnacentral:lncRNA from 1 species
CCCCCCGCGCCCCCCCCCCCCUUUCCCGCACUGCUUCUGUUGGAAACUACCGGGAUGGGGAGGGCCCCACGCGGAGGGGCCUCCGAGCAGCGCGGAACCUCCGCGGCCGCGCAGUGGAGAGGAGGCGCUGCCCCGGCUUCGGUGUCCGCUCAGCGCGGAGCUUCACCCACUUAAACCCCCUCUUGGUGCGCUCUUUUAAGCUCGGCGGGCCCGGGCAGGAUGUUUAUACUGAGCAAUGUAAACACGGGCUCGGGGGUGCUUUAAUAAAAAGAAAUCGGCGAAAACUCCCUCUGCCUCUCGAAAUGCCCUUUUCUGCCUCCGCCGCCGGUCCGGGGAUGGGAACGGGCUUCGGUCCCCUCUCCCGUUCCGAGGUUUCUUUGGGGCUCUUUCGCUUUCUUUCUUUCUUUCUUAUAUAUAUAUAUAUAUUUAACUUUAGGGGGGAGGUUGUUUAUAAAUCUGCGCUUCACAAACGGCUGAAUGCCGAGAGCCCCGUGCUCGGCUCGCUCGGAUGCCGCACACACAUUCACCGGGCUGGGGAAGGGGGGGGGGAACGGGACGGGAAGGAGAACGGGAAGGAAUAGUCCUUACCGCCCCCCCGCUUUCCUCCCAACCCUCCAGAAAAAAAAAAAAAAAAAAAAAAAAAAAGCCCUUUUCGAGCAUCUUCCCAUCGGGAGGGCUGUCGCUCGCUCGAGGUAAGUCGCUUUAAAGCUUUGUCACCUUUCUUGCGCGUUUAAAUCCACGCUCGCGAUGGGGGCUGUUAGGGUCGGGGGUUGGGGGGGGACACGGCACGGCGGCAGCUUUGGCUGCGUAGGGUGCGAGAGGGGCAAUGUGCGGCUCUGAGGUCGGGGAAAGGAAGAGAGAAAGGAAAGAGAACACAGGGAAUAAGAAGAAAUUUUCCCCUUCCACCCCUCACCUCCCUCUAAACCCCUCCGACCGAUGCAGGCCGCGCUGGAGGGCUGCGCCGCUAAAGAGAGCAUCCCCAAAGCCCCCUCUUUCAGGUUCGCUUUUAAAGGAUAUAUAUAUAUAUACACAUAUAUAUAUAUAAGUACUAUUAUUAUCACGUUUUGAAUGAUAAUUGAAGCCUUCUUAAAAAGAGGGGCAGCGGAUACCGAUCGGGUUUCCGAACUCCCUCCGCGUUAUUGGCGAGCAGUUGCGAGCAGCCUGCAGGGCGCCCGUCCCAACAGCACCGACAGGGAUUUCGCAUGGGGGGGCUUCCUUUUCUUCUUACUUUUUUUCCUUCCCCCCCCCCCCCCCCCCUUUUUUUUUUCUUUUUUUAAACCCUCCCUUCCUUCCCUUUCCCGUCGUUUUCUCCCGCUCCGCAAAUAAAAACAAAUCCCCGUGGGAAACGGAGGCGGAGGGGGAAUUUUGGGGAUGGGAGAACCCCCAGAGCAGGGAGGGCACGGAGGCAAACCUUAACCCCAAAUUGGCACUGUUAGGAAGUCACCCCUCUCCCGUCUGCUCGCAGAUUUCGGGCGGACAGUGCAGAUAAACCCUCCGCUUAGCGAUGCUUUCUAUUUAUCUCGGGGGCAGCGCAUCGCUGAUUCCCCCCCCCCUCCCCACACACACACGCAAACCCACCCCGUGCCACGAAAUGGGUAUUUUUCACCACUCUGAGACCGAAUUCCCCCAUUAUUCCCCCAUUCUUCCACCCCCCCCCUCCUCCCCCCCAAAAGAAACUCCCGGGAUGGAGCUCGGGAAGCGGCACAAAGAGACAGCACAAAACCCACCUUCAACCCCCCCCCCACCUCCAGGGCAGCGCUCCCAUCGGGAAAUACAUCUCUGCGCGGAAAUCAAAGCGUUCCACUCCGGACAGAACCGCUCAAAGCGCCUUUCCCCCCUCCCCACCCCAUCCAGGAGUUUAGGUUUUAUUUUUCGGGGGUGUGAAGGUUCGGUUUCCGAUGGAUUUAUGCCGUCCGGAGGACGCUGACGUGGAAAUAGAUGGCUCCGAUUUUUAUAGGCCUCGUGGUGGGAAUAGGAGGAAAGCUGGAAGGUUUUCUAUACGGCACAAAGAAACGGGGAGUUGAGUGCGGGACACGGGGGUGAGCGAGGGGGGUCGUCGGGUCUUUAUUGCUCUCCCCAGAAAUAGAACCUUAGGAUCGUGUAUAAGGGAAAGAAGUGCCUCCUGGGCCGGGCGGAGGAGCGGGGCUCGCUGGUUGCUGUUGUUUGCUGUCGGUUUGGCUGUUUGCAUCGGGUCCGCCCCCAGCGAAGGGGAAGGGGAGAUGGAGGGGGUAGGGGGGAGCAGGAAAAAAAUAGGAACUGGAAAAAGAAAAGGAUGAUCGGGAGCAAUGAGGCAAUUAGCCCCGCUAAUCCCGACCCGUUCUGUCCCGUUUUGCCGGACCCCGCUUCCCUCACGGCCUCUUCCCCCCCUUCCCCUCCCUGAAAGCGGGCCGUGUUUUGUGUAAAAAUAGACAAAUCCGAGCUUUCUUCCUUUUCCUGCGCCGAAGGUAUUUUUCCUCGCUAAUUGCUUAAGUGAAGUCAACCCCGCGAGCAGGCCGCGUGUAACCCGAGGAUGGAAAUGGAUCUAGGUGGGACCGGCGGGCGCUGCUCGGGGUGUUCCUGCCGCCCGGACCACCCAGAGAGAGGGGAGGGACCGCCGCAUGUCCCCCUCCCCCCCAACCCCUCCAUCCCCAUCCCCUCCUCCGCUGCUUCGCAUUAACGCCGCCCGCGGACCCCCCCCAACCCGGCACUGCCCCCACUCCGCUCUGCUCUCGCAGUCCCCGCCGCCCCGGGUCCGUUGCGAAUCGAUCCCUAAACGUUUAUUUAGGGCCGAGGGGUGCGCCGUGCCGAAAGCCUUUAGGCUUUAUUCGGCCCACGUGCUGAGAUCUCCGCACCGAACCGAGCGGAGGAACCCUCUGUUCCAACCCCCCCCCCCCCGCCUCCCCAUCGCCCUCAGAUCCUGAGAGCAAAAUUCCCCCCUCCCCUUCCCAAAACCGACGGCGUGGGGAAAAGCUUUGCCCCACGCGUGUCCGUACGUGCACACAGGGGAGGACAUCCAAGAGGAAUUUUGGGGACGAAACACAGCAACACUGGGGCUGCAGGGUUCUGCCAAGCUGAAGUUCAGGAGUUGGUCAGGAGGGAGAAGCGAAAGGAAAACCGUACAGAUUUUCCCCCUCUUUGUCCCUCUUCCCCCACCCCCCCAAAACAACCCCCCCAUCCCCCCCCCAGAAAUAAAAGCCCACAUUUUCCAUGACGUCCACCGGUGAAACGUUGCAGCGCAGGAAUGCACAGCCCUGACAGAGCCGCUCCCCGCGGCACACGGCCGUCCCAGCGCCCCGCAGCCCCCAUUACACGCCAGAGAUCUUUUAUAUAUCUGCGGGUGUUUAUAUCCCUGCUCGGGGACGGGGAGCUGGGAUGCUUUCCCAGGAGGGAUGCUGUGGGAGAGGGAAUAUCGGGAGAAGGGAUGGAGCUGAGCCGGAGAGCAACGAGAGAUGCUCUCGGCCGCCCCCGAUAAAACAAUUGAUCCUAAAGGCGAAGCGCAGAUCCGGGUUGAAACGGAUUUGGGGCGUCGGGGCUUUCUCCGACACGGUUUUCCUGAGGGGUUUCCCUCCAGCGACCCCAAUAGGAAAAGAAUUGGGGGUCGGGAGGGGAGAUCGGAGCUUAAUGUGGGUCUUUAAGGAAGGGAGAUGGGGACUCCCCGCUCCGUUCCUGCGCUUCCUCAGCGCGGCCCGAGAGCCGGGGCAGAUUCGGGGCGGUCCUCCCGGUACCGGGGCUGAAGAAGAGCCGAACCCCCGAGAAGGCACCCCGCUUCUCCCAGCUCCUUCGCAGAGCGCUGUGCCACGCAUAAAAAAACAAAACCCAUCGUUCUCAGCGUUUUUUUAGCCUCACAUUCCGGUGGGUGAGAGGUAACACGGGAACUUCGGUGCCUGCAAAACAUUUCGCUCCUCCGAGCCUUUCGAGGGCUGGGAAUCACCUCCAUUUCCCCGACGUGCCCUGGAGAGAAACGGGGACAGCGAGGGGCUUCCCUGCGUCCGCACCCCGCCCGGCCCCGCCUGGAUCCCUCCAUUACCGAUCUCCAUUCGUUGGGUUUUCUUUUGUUAGUUAGUUAGUUUGUUUUUUCCCCAACCCGAAACUAAAAUCCCCGUCGAAAUUCGAACCACAGCGCUGCACUCGGAGCGAGGGCCACCCGGUUCGGGGUUCCGUACAAAAUCCGCACGGGGAGCUGCGGGAAGUCACAGCGGAACGAACGCGAAGGGGUACGGCAUGGGGCUGCUAUCCCCUGCCAGCCUCGGGGGACAGCGUGGACUAUAGGGAUCGCUAUAGGGAAAAUGGCAGGGAACCCGGGAGGACCCUACGGUGCCCUCCCUGGUGUGGGAUUCUCGGAGGGAGAAAGGUGUUUUGCGAAGCAUCACGCGGCCCUGAGGGGACAGGAGGUGACAGCCCCACACCAAAUGUCCCCGGGCUCCCCAGCAUGGGGGUGUGAAAUGAAAUCCACGAUGAACGCCGUCUGUAAAUUACAGCCGCUCACUCCGAGGGGGUGAAGGGUCGGGGCUGCCAACCCUUUUUGCAGUGUCACCUGUCGUGCAGGGCGGCCCGGAGGGGCAAAAAGGGCACGGGGGUCCGCGGGGACACACGGCAAAACGAUCCACGCGGGAGGCGGCCGUUCCCCGUGGGGAGACGGAGAGCAUAGCGGCUCCCAGCGAAGGAUGCUGAGGGCAGGGAGAGCGCUGUGUCGGCCCUCGGGUACACGGGGGAAACCCGAAGCGGUUGUUUUUGGAUUGCGAGAAGGUCCCUGGGGCGGCAAAAGGGCUUUAUCCCUUUGUCCCUUUGCUUCGUGCCCAUAGGGUCCUGCCCUGCGCUGCUCAGGGAUCCACCUGCAAAUCCAGCCCCACAGCUCGGAGCAUCCCUCUGGGUUCCGGGGGAUAAAAUGACCAGUGGGGCCAUUUCAUUUCAAGCAUAGGAUGCAGAUGUCCGUGCAAAGGGCAGCACGCGUGGGGUGUGCCGAGCAGGGAAAGGCCGGCGGGGCUGCGUCCGAGGGGAACCUCCUGAGUUCUUAACCUUGCCUCUAUAAUAAAUCUCAGCCCCGCUCCAAACCUCCCCCCCCCCAGAGCCCAAAGAGAGGAGUUUCAGGACUGGCGUUCAUAAACAACGAAAAGAAUCCCCGUUGCAAACAGCUGCGGCUCCCUGCUCGCUUCUCCCCUCUUUGCAGAGAUCUGGGUUAGGCUUUCCACGGAAACCCUCCCGGCAGAAACUAUUUUCCAGCACUUUUCUUAAUGAGCGAAUUCCCAAUUAACGGCGUAUCCCUUAUGUGGGGGACCCGACGGCUCCGUAAUGUACCACAGCGCGAGCUCUGGGGCCGUAUUGUGGGGUGCUGUGGGUUUAUGGGCCCCACUUUUGCUUUCAGUUUCCCAGCACAGAACUAUAGAUAUAUAUAUAAACACUAAAAAAUUGGUUAAUUGCCUUUCCUACCUCCUUAGGAAAAAAAAAAUACACAAAAGAGUGAGUAGUAAAAUUAUACUUUUUGGUCACUAAGCCAAAUAUUAUCAGCGAUAUAUAUAUGUGUGUAUAUAUAUAUAUAUGUAUACAUACGAAAGCAUAUAUGCAUAUGUGUGCAUUCAAAAAUGAAUUGCAGGGAAUACAGUGCUCGGUUGGUCGGCGUUCUGAGGAAGGUGUUGGGUGAGUGCAUGAAAUACCCGAACCGAAGUGGGAAGGGUUUAUAUUAUGCCCCGCAGUUAAGCGGUUUCUGCGGCAAAAUCACUGCAGUUUUGUGAGCAUCGUGGGAACGGUGCAACCAUUUCCCCCGGGUUUAUUGGGGAAUGGGGUGUGAGGGUGCGGGAGAGGGGGGAGGAAAGGAGAAGAAAGCUGAGGGGGAAGAAAUACUGGCGCAGAAUUCGCUAUAGGUUCGAAUAACGAAGCUAGAAAUGAUGCGGUUCUUCCUAUUUCAAACCCGCUUGCUGAACCGUAAAACGUCGCAGCGCGUUUUGCAGAACACCUUCAGCACCGCGCUCUGAUUCUCCCUUAAAUCUCACUGCUAAAACCGUCGCAAAGCCGUUUUGCAAAGAAUCCCUUUUAAACCGGUGUGCGUGGAACUGUCUGCCCGUUCCCGUAUCGGAUUUGGGGGCUGUCUGCUAGCAAAGAUGCUGCGUGGCCGUGUAGCAAUAUUCCCCCCCCCACCCCUUCGGCCGCCAGAGUCGUUCGUUUUCCCUAUGGGAACGAUCCCACCCGCAGCUCCCAGUGGGACGGGGCCGUCUGUGUCCCUCCCCACGCAUGUGGGACGGGGCAGCCAUCGGGGAACGGUAAAGAGCAUCGAAAUGCUCCGUCUGCACGGCUCCGGUGGGCGGGGGGGACCCACGAGCAGGCAGGGGAUCCCGGCUGUGUGCAGCCGUAGGGAUGGAGGGAAAUACGCAGCGCCCGCACUUCGGGAAGGGGAGAUUUCGUUCCGUCGGUGGGGGAUGGAGAGAGCACCGGGUCCGGGCUGCCCUGAGAUCGGUCACUGAGAAGAGGAGGAUGUGGAGAUGGGGAGUGGAGGGGGACGUAGUGCCGAGAGUGGGGGGAGAGUGCAAGCGGGGAAGGAGAAAGGUGGGGGAAAAAAGGACGACGUGCAGAAACAAGGCAGAAAAUAAAGAGCGGGGGACAGAGAGAGAAAAAAAAAGGAAGAAAAAUACAGAAAAGAGUGAAAGACAGACAGAGAAAAAAAAUGAAGAAAAGGGAGACAGCGAGAAAAAGAAAGAAAGAAAAGAGGAAAAUAAACGAGAAAGGAGGGAAAGAAAGAUGGAAAGAAAUAUAUAGAGAAAAGAAAAAAUGAGAAAAUGAAGGAAAGAAAGAAUGAAUGAAUGGUGAAAGACAGAAAAUGAAAGAAAGAAGAAAGGAAGGAAAGGGCAAAACAGAAGAAGGCAAAACAAAGAGAAAAAGAAAAAAAAAGAAAAAGAAAAAAAGAAAAAAAAGAGAAAAGAGAAAAACGAAAGAAGGAAAGGAAAGGAAAUGGGAAAAGGAGGAGAGAAAGAAAAAGGAGAAGAGAAAGAAAAAGGAUAAAAAACGAAAGGAGAAAAAAAGAAAAAGAAAAAGAGAAAGAAAAGAAAAAAGAAAAAGGAAAAAAAGAAGAAAAAGAGAAAGGGAAAGAAAAAGAAAAAGAAAAGGGGAAAAAGAAGAAAAAGAAAAAUAGAAAGAAAAAGAAAAAUAAGAAGGAAAGGAAAAGAAAAAGGACAAAAAUGAGAAGAAAAAGAAAGGAAAAAGGGAACGAAAUAAGGAAAUAGAAAUCAGAGUGUGAAAGAAAUAGUGAACAUUAGAAAGCAUAAGAGUGCAUAAACAAACGAAAUAAAGGAGAGAAUGCUAACAAGUAAAACAGAAAUGAAGAGAAUGGGAAAGCGAGAAAUAGUGAAAGAAAGACAAAGAAAAACGGGGAAGUAGAAAGCGAAAAAAAAGAGGGAAAAAUAAAUAAGAAAAAUAGAGAGAAUGAGAAAAAGUGAGAGUGAAGGGGAGGAAAUAAAGAAAUAAAGAAAAAAGAAGUAGAAAUGAAAAAAAGAAUAAAGAAAGAGGAAGGGGGAAGGGAGAGAAGGAGAAAAGAAAGGUGGAAGGAGAAAGGAGAAGAGAGGGAAAAGAGUGAGAAGGAAAGAGAAGGAAGGGAGGAAGGGAGGAAGGGAGGAAGGGAGGAAGGGAGGAAGGGAGGAAGGGAGGAAGGGAGGAAGGGAGGAAGGGAGGAAGGGAGGAAGGGAGGAAGGAAGGAAGGAAGGAAGGAAGGAAGGAAGGAAGGAAGGAAGAAAAGAAGGAAAGAAGGAAAGAAGGAAAGAAGGAAAGAAAAAGAAAAAAGAGAGGAAGAAAGAAAGAGAAAAGGCAAAUGAACGCCCCGCAAAGCCAAUCUCAGGGCGCAGUCAGGGCGGUCACCCAGGCACGCAGCGCUGUCGGGUCAGAGCGGCGCGGCCCCAUCCCGUCCCAUCGGGAGGUGCCGCUCACCGCAUCCCUCCGCACCGCCAACCGGGGGAGAAAAGCCCCGAACACCGCGUUCCAUAUUUCGAGGAGUUCUGCGCGCUUUCGGGGUUGUUGAAAUUUCGCUUUGAUGUUUUAUUGCCUCUCUCAUCUUUUCCUGGAGAGAGGAACCGGCGCUGUGUGAGCACCCCGUACCCCCAACCCCCCUUACCCCCGGGCAGGGCCACAAACGAGAACUGCCAUUUCACACCGAUUUCACACCGAUUUCACACCCAUUUCACACCCAUUUCACACCCAUUUCCCCGGGGUUGCCCCGCUCCGCUGCUGCCCCGCGGCUCCGCGCAAAUUGCGCGCCCGCUCCGCGCCUCCUCUGCCUGCGGUCGGUCCCGCAUUCGCUCGGCCGGCUCCGUAGGUGGCCGUGUAUAUUUUUGUUGAAGUAGUGUUUAUGUUAAUGAAAAAGUCUGAGAUUACAAACAGACCACUGAACGCCCGGGAUGUUGCUGCCGGAUUGGUCUACGUUGUGUAUUUUAAACCUAAUCAGGAGCAAAUAUGAUUUCCCCCCCCCCCCCUCCCGUGUAUGUGUGUGUGUGCAUUAUUUUUAGCAGAAAGACGUACGGGAUGUUUGGGGAGCCCCGUGCCACCCCUGUCCCUUUACCCAGUGAUUUCGGAGCUGUGUUUUUCCCUGUGUGGCUGGGGAGGGAGUGGGGAUGCAGGGAGAGGUGUCAGAGCAGCUAUCCGAGAAUUACCCCCAGAACAACGAAAACGAUCCCAUUGCUCCUGGAAAGGGAAAGGAAGGGCUCAGCUCACCCCCUCCGAGCUCCCUCCGACCCCAUAGAGGGGUUUCCAUGCGCCGGUGGCAAACGGGUGCGCGUCCCUAAAGCCUCGCCUAAGGGAUGGGGUAUCCUUUCCUUUGGGUAUUUUCUUUGCCGGGAAUUGCUGGGCACAACCUGAAAUUUGCAUCAAAAACCCCUUCCAAUUCGGCAGUGAAAAAUGCCAUUUACAAUUUGCCACAUGAAAAAAAAAAAUAGAUAAAUAGGCAGAAAUACUGAUAGAUUUCAGCCCUUGUAAAUGCCAAGUGUGCAGCAAUCAGUUCAUCCAUUGCUUAAAAGUGGAGGUCCGGAGAGCUUUUGGGUUUUUCUUUCAGGAGGGAGCUGUGAUUUUCUUUGAUUUCAGAGCCUUUUGGGGUCCCUUUGAUUCCGGUUUCCUUAACAAAAAAAAUCACUUCUGGAACCCCCUCAGCUGCUCCUAUCUCCCCUUCCGUUGCUGUGCUGGUGAAGAUUCAAAGAAAAUAACCCUAUUUUUGCAGACGUUCCUCUGCUGAUCGAUCACUCCCAGCACAGAGGGAUGCAUUUGGGGUCCCGGCAAAAGGGUUUCUCCCCCUUGACAGCUUUGCAAGCAACAGUGAGGCGGCUUUGGCAUCGCCUUCCUUCCCAAUAUUUGCCUUUUGUGGGCAAAAGCUGUCGGUGGAGCAGAGCUCUCCGGCACGGCCAGCCGGAGGAUUUGUGCACUCCGAUGUUUUACUACUGUUAUGAUUCCUCAUUGACUGAAAGUACAAAGAAAAUCGCCGUGUAAACAAGUCGCCGUCUGAAGGGGAUGUGGGCGAAAUUCGGGGCAAGCAGAACCUCAGCAGGGAUUUAAGGGAAGAAGGGAAACAAGGGGAAAACACGACAAUCCUGUGUAAGGUUUUCUCUAUGCAAUGGCAGUAUCACUUCGGAGCUGUGCAGGGUUUUUUUUCCCCAUGUUUCAUGGGGCAGAGGAGAGCCCUAAAGUGGUUUUUUCUCCCUGAGAAUAUCUGGAUGGCAUCGAUCUGUCUCCCAACAGAAAGAAGUAGGUUCCAGCAUGAGGCUUAGGGGGUUUCUUCAUUCUCCCACCUGAAACUAGCAGUUUUUUUUUUCCAUGAAACUGUAUUUUAUUGCAUUCUUUCUUUUGAGCGGGUCAAUCCCCCCCCUUUUCUUUUAACCUAGCAACAUUAAGCAACGCUGCAGAGGGAUUGUCAACACUACAGCAUUUGGCUUUGGGGAUAACACCACUGCUGUCGGAGCCAGGUAGGCCCUGCAGAGGUGGGGGGCAGCAGGAUGGAGGUUGAUGCCCCCCCCAGCGCUCACCCCCAGGUGCUCACCCCAUGGGCAGCCCCCAUGGGGUGACCCACUGAAGGACGGGGACAGGGGGUUGUCCCCACCAUGGCACACACAUGCAGACAUGUGCACACACAUGUGCACGCGUGUUCACGCGCACACCCUCCUCUAACCCCGCAUCCGACCGCGCCGCUCCCGAGCAGCGCUAAUGAUGCCGCAGCACCAGCGAUGCGGUGCGAGGCAAAAAGCAGAUGAAAGUGAUGUCACAUUAAUGUCAGCUCACAACUCGAGCCCACACAGCCUUGAUUGCUCUUAUUAAUCUUGCCAAUUUGUCUGUCAGCACUCAACUAAUCCCUAAAUAGCCUCCCAACAGGUGCUUUAUGCUUCCGCCACAUCGCUGCUCCCCGGCAUCCCCCACCCUUCCCCCCCGAGCCCCGGAGCCCUCCUCGGUGACACCGUCUCUCUCCUGUCCAUCUGGGAGCAGCUCCUUCCCCGGGAGGGCUGGAAGGGAGAGAGGCAGCUUUGCAGAUGUUGUUUAGUCUGUGCACAGAGGGCGCGGAGCUGGGGGCUUCCAAAUGGAAGCGAUGGGAGGCGGGGAGGGGAUGCUGGAGAAAAUCACCUUGGGUUGGGUGGGGGUAAAUGGGGGAUGAAUAACACCCCCCCCCCCAAACUGGAGUUUGCUCACAUCACUGUGAAUAUCUACACUUAUAGCACACGAUGGUUGCAUUGCUUUUAUGUAUCACUGGCUUGUUGGUUUUAUUGAGAGGGGAGGAAAGCGUAGCGCAAAACCGAAGCUGCAGUGGAAAAGCCACAUUACACCCUGAGCAGCUUUAUCCUGCAAUUAAGCCGAGGGUCAAACAUUUCCUUUGCUGUGCUAUCAGAAAAUCCACUGGCUUAUUGCAGUGUAUAUUUAGCUGUGAAGUUCCCGCUGAGCUCAGAGUGGAAGGCUGAAAUUAUUGUGCUCCAUCCUCCCAGCACUCUUAUUUAGCACAGUAGUUUUAAACACAGGUUUUGCAUGCAGGAAACCCUACGAACCACUAAAGUGGAGCCUAAGCUGCUUUCCUGCAUUAAAAUAAAAAAAAAAAAAGAAAGAAAAAAAGGGAUAUAUAUACAUGUAUUUUGGUUUGGCAGCUCGCUGCAUGGAGCAGCUCGCACGCAGCCUUCAGCCCCAUGCGCUGCAGCUCACCUGGAGGAUGCUGUGCUCUGCAGGAGGAGCUGCCAAACCCGGCUCUGCUGGAGCAGGCUCCAGUUUUACAUCCGAAGUUGGCUCAGGCUGCUUCCAGCCCUGCGCUCAGCACUGCAGGAAGGAAGCUUUCAGGGCAUCCUCCACUGCUCUUCCAAGAGAUUCACCAAGGGGAGCCUACCCGCUGCUAGCGCUUGGGGCUGCUCAUCAUUAACCCUUGGGUGCUUCAGAUCAGGUCCUGAAAGCCCUCUAAAAACACCAUUUGCAACCUCAAGCCAUUUCCCUCCAUCCUGACCUGGGUUUAUUAUCGGGAGACAGAUAGAUUUUUCCUUCUUUCUCCCCAUCCAUUUAUUUCAACCAAUAAGACGAUCCAUCACGGCGCGCUGGAACCGACCUACGAUCCGGGGAUAUUCUUAGAUACUCAGCAUGUCAGGAAACGGCUCACAGCCCCACUUGAUGCAAAUAUUUGGACGAGCGAGAGGUAGGAAGGAUUGUCCAAAUGUUUACUGAAGGCUGUUGAUAGCCCAAGGAUUUAUAACUGGCGCAUAAUGCCUGCCCCCACACAGCUCCUCUAGCAGGUGCAUCCAGUUUCAGCAUGACACAUGGUAUGCGCGUGCUCUGGGAACGGGGAUGCAGGAGAAAGUGCUUUCACAGGUCUCGCCUCCCUCUUCCCAUCUUCAUUAAGGUUUGGAGAGGCAAGGCAGGAGCUCAGGAUCAGCUCUGGUGAUAGAGAUCCCCAGCAGCAAUUUACACCUGAAGGCAAAACUUAAGCAUCGAGCCCGUUUGGUUGGAAUUUCCCAAGUGAAACCAAGGCUCUGAAUUAUUUAGGCCCAUUGUCACACUCCUUCAGUGCUGAGAUGGAGAAAUUCACAUCAUUCUAGCUAUUCCCCUUUCCAUUUCACUUCCUAACUCACACCACCAGGGUUUGAUCUCUUCUUCCCCACAGUAAUCCCUAAUUACUGUUGGGGGGACAUCACUGCCAACUGAUUGGGUUUAACCUUUUCUGGUGUCCAAGGAGGAGCAGUUUUUUGGUGGCUUUGAGGACCCCAAUGGAAAUGCCCCAGCACCCACUGCCAGACAGCCCCUACACCACUGACAGAGAACAGCAUGCUCAGAGCAGAGCACGUUGGCCAACUAGAGUUGGAGAUACACUCAAGGAAAGCUUUAGUACCUUGCCCAAGGCCAACGAGCAAUGGCAUUCAAUGGCAGAAAGAAGUCAGUUUGCUGAUACCCUGUCCUGCAUAACCCGUCGCCUAGAUGCCCUCAGGUUGCAGGGAGACAUCAGAUGGCUCCAACACAACCUCCUGCUCAAAGCAGAUCCAUGGUUCAUGCAAGAUCAGUCCACUAUAGCUUUGUGUAGCUGAGCCUUGAAAACCUCCAAGGACAAAGCCCAGCAGCCAUGCAUAUGGAUAGUUCAGGCAGCAGAGGAGCUGUUGGUGCCCUUGUGCCCAUCCAACCAGGCUCUCAGACUCUGCCAUCAGCUCAGUGGCUGCUUUGUCUGUAAGCAUUCCUACAUUGCAUUACUGAGAAUCCUGUGGAACAGGAGAAAUGGGCACGGAGCUGAAUCACUCAAGUCUGCUAAUUGCCUUUUCCUCAACCAUUCAGUAGGUUUUGACUAUGCUAGGAACAAGAACGCAUGCACUCAGCAUGCUGCAGACGCCCAGACAACGUGCUUUUCUGUGUAACUAGCAGCAAUUGUAUCUGCUGCAGAACAGCCUUUAAUUCAUUGCAGCCCCGGAUGGCAGAGUUUGCUGACUGCUCAGGCAGGAAUACAAUGGCCCUAUUGUUUUGCUAAGGGAAGAUUUCUUUGUUGCAUGCUGCCGUGUAAACUGUAUGUUUUCUAUCUGUUACCUGAUUCGUUUCGAUGGAAUCCCUUAGAUAGGCUUAAGGCAAUCUGCUGUCCUGCUCUGGAGCAAUGGGAGAAACUCUGGGAGGCUGAGGACCUGGCCAUUUGUGUUACCUCUAUUUGGCUUGCCUGGAAAGAAGGAAGAGAAUUUGGUGUUCUUCAUGGGAGCAGAAAUUGAGUAAUAAAAUACACGGGGAAAAAUGUAGUAAGUGCUCAAAUUCCAAAGUCAUCUGCUGUGCUCGAUGAAGGUUUUCUUUAUAUAUCAAAAGAAUUCGGUCCUGGUUUUGGUGUCACAUUCUCAGCAUGACCUUAAAAGUGUAGCUGUAACUCAGACUAAUCCGGACUUCUCUCUCCUUAAACCUAUUGCUCAACAAACACCCAACAGUGUGGAAAUGUGUUUCCUAGAUGAGAAUCUUGAGCCAUCAACGGGCCCCAAGCCAGAGGGAUUCUGCAAAUGCACAUGGUGGUCAUGUUGUGCACAGCCCAAAGCCUUCUUCACAGCUGUGCCAACCAUGCUUCCAUACCAAUCUCUCCAAUUUCUCUUCGUGUUAGCAGUGGGAUUAUCUCCCUGGACUUGUUGGGUUGUGGUAUGGGGAUAGUCUCCCUAUAGAUCUCCUUCCACAGGUGCUUCUCUCCCCAGACCCUUUGUGUAGAUAUAGUAAAGCAGGGGUUUAAAAGAUUGGUAAAAGGAUUGGAUUUAAGGCGUUGCAGCCCAAAAAUACAAUCCUAAAACCUGAAUUUGCCUGUCAUCUGAACCCAGAUGCAUCCACACGGCAUGGGGGCAACAGCAAGCUGUGGCAGAAGAGAGGGUCUUGUGCAGAUAUGUUCUCCGGUCUCUGUCACAGCAGUUUUAGGAGAGGAAGACUAUGGAAAUCCAGUUAAAAACUGCAAAACCAGUAGGAUCUGGGCCAGGCUUAACCAAAGCAGAAAUAAAUCAGCUCAGCCACUGGUGUGUUUCAGUGCAUUUGGGCUUAGAGGCGAUGUGGGCGACGGCUUGUGGUCCAGACCAGCAUGGUGCUUUUAGCUAUAUAUAAUUAGAUGUUUUUUCUACUGCAAACCAUUACUGACAGAUUGAAAGGGUUUUAUUCCACAGGAUUUUUCCUGCCUCGUCUGCCAGGGAACAAGCAGGCCUCACUCAAGCUCUGCUUCGUUGGUGUAAAUCACAGCAUGGGGCUACCUUAUCUCAGCCAGAGCCCCCGUGCAGGAAUGCUGCUCUGUCCAGCCCUCAGGCCACCCACCCCUGAUCCCGGGCUCCAGCAUCUGCUCCAGGCCCAAGCUCUGACCCUUCAGAGACAUAUUUUUGCAAGGUCAGGAGGUUGGGUGGUAAAAGGGGAGUGGAGAAUAGCAGGGGAACAGUGAAGGCUGGCUCUGCAAAGGGAUUUCAGGAGGAUGUUUACACUCGCCAUUAAAUGCAGGCUCGAGCCUGUUCUCUUCUCCAGAUUCACCACCCAUCUGCACUGUUUGCAUGCAAGCAUGCAUGAGGCACAGGCACAGUCCCAGCUUCAAAGCCUUCUGGAUGAGGGUGGUCCAUGCAUACUCUGCACCCUCGGGCCUUGGUUCUGCAACUUGGGCCAAGAAGAGCAAGGCAGGAGCAGUAAGACAGCCAGCCCUGCUGUGCAUUGCUGGGUCCUUCACAGGGCAACAAGGAUGCUUUCAGCACCAGUAAAAAAGUCAUACAGAAAAGCCAUAUGGAAGAGAGGUGGAAGAAGGGCCUGAUGUAGCUCUAGGCAGCCUGGUCUGGUGGUGGCGACCCUGCACGUAGCAGGGGUGUAGAAACUCAAUGAUCAUUGUGGUUCUUUUCAACCCAGACCUAUUCUAUGUUUGGGUCAAAGAAUGAUUUCAGAUGGAAUUUUUCUCUGAAAUUUCUGCUGCAUUUGUUUGGAAGGGCCACUAACUGCCUUCAUCCAAGAAACAGCUGCAAAGGGGUCUCUGGACGUGGCCUGACUAUCAUCAAGAACAAGGAGAGACUGUACUUGCAUCACUCCAAGAGACAUUUCAAUUAAGAGAGAGCAUUCCAAGCAAAAUUCUAAUUUUCUUAAACUGUUAAACUGAAAAUGGGUUUACAAAAUGACUUUUUGCACAGACAUUUGUGUAUAAUUUUUUUCCUGAAUGAAGAGGAAAAUGUCAUUUCCUUUCCUGUAAGAGCUGAUCUCUACAUAGCAGAUGAAGACUCCAACCUUUUCCCAAUGAAGUUAAGGGUUCGCUGUCCAAUAGAGUGGGUUGUGUGGUGAAUUCUUCCCUAACUACUCAUUGCAGUAAACCAUCCCAACUGCUACUGCAAGUGGUUGAAUCACUAAGCCUGAGCUCCGGGAAGCCAGCCCCAUCCAUCCCAGCCCAAGCUGUAUCUCCCUGGGGCUGGGUGCCAUCCCCAGUGGUUCCGUUCCCAUUCAACAGCCCCGAGGCCAAACCACCCACUGUAGCAUCCAUGAGUACAAUUCCCAUUCCAGCCCUUGCUUUCCUACAUGGAAGCUUGCAUCCUUCCCUCCUCCCUCCGCCCUCCCUGGUGGUGCAGCUGCUCGGCUCUGCGAGGGAAAGGCUCCCAGAUGUGCUUGAGAGGGAGCGGGCAGAGUCCCGAAUUCCACUCCGUGCUGAGCGGACUCUUUGUAUAUUUUGUUUUAAGGAGAAAAUAUGCAUCGAGUCCUCGGAGAAAGGCUGGGGACCAGGCACGUCCCUGUGAUCACACCGAGCACAGGGACUGCAAGCCAUCCACCCUCGGCUUUUCUCUGCUUGUGGGAUGGCAGCUCUCAGCACCAUCAGCAGCUGAAGCCCAUCUGCAUUACACAACAGGUCCUUCAACCCUUCACUGCCUCGAAGCACCCUUCCAGAAAAUGGGAUUUUCUGCUAAAAGAAACCCAAAAAACAGGCACCUAACCGCCCACAUUUGGUAUUUUUGGCUCACGAGCCGUGUGCCAUAUCAGAUCAAUAAAUAUUCACACACUCCUAAGUGCUUUGUGAAGUAGGCUUCGUUGCAUUUCAAGCACAUUUAGCUGUGGCACUUGGUAGCUACAUGGUUAUUGCGUGAGACAGUACAUUUAUGAAGUGUUGGCCUUCACUUAGUUAAUCACUUCAUUGAUGUGCAAUAUAAAAAUAGUAUGAAACUAAUUGUUUCCAUAGAAACAGGAACCCAGCAAAUUAUUUCGUAUCACAGCUUGGCAAAAGAAAAAGAAGAAACUGCUGUAAUUGUUCCCAUUAGCAAAACACAGAGGAUUCAUGCUCAAUCUCUACUACACUCAGCCUCACUCCUGCUGUGAAUUAAGGGACGAAAAGUCAGCACAGAACCACAGAAAAAAAGCACAGAAACAAGCUGUGCUUUAUUGAGUAUUUGUUGUUCUGCCACCAAAACAAUUUCCCUUCUGCUUUACAGGUUUCUGGCCAGCAGCUCCAAGGACUGUCACAGCCAUGUUGUGCGUUUGGGAACGUCAUGCAAUGGGGCUUUAACUGUGAAUGGAGGACAUCCUGGCCCCACUAUGGGUGGGAUAAGAACAACUCUCACCUCAAAGAUGUAACGAAAUAAAUCUUUAGCAAGAACAAACCUUCACUUCCUCUCUCAGUCACAAACCCCAGGAAAGAAAAAUAAAUCACAACGUGAGCUCACCCGCUCUCGGAGGAUACCACGUUACUCCUGAAGGCUACCACUCAAACUGGAGGUGUCCGUCCCUCAGAGAGAUCAACGAAUGCAGCAAAUUAAUGAGCAGCAUCAGCCCAAGCUUUGACAUGAAACCAGCCCUGAAAACAAAGCCAUGUGCAGUGCCAUGAGCCAGGCAAUCCUAAUUCUCCAUGUUACCUUCCCAUUCCGUGGCCUGUUGGUGGGACAAAGAGUUGGUACCCAUGAAAUCACCAUUUUAAGUGUGGCCAAAGUCAAGAGCGGAUAAAAGCCUGCCACGAUCAGUCUGAAUCACGGUUGAUGUGAUGGCCAGCAAUGGUCAGGAGUGGGACUGUGCUGCUGGUGUGCUCCCAGCAUUCAUCCCUUGGGCACUGAGGGCCAAUGAGUAUCUCUGGCUCAUCCCAAAACUCUGCCCCUCGUCUCCCCUAAUCCACCUAAUGCCUUUUCAACUGGAACCGGAAAAAGCAGCAGCAGGGUGUGUUUGUUUUUCUCAAUUGGCCGUGGCAAAGAGGUAGAAAUACACCUCCAAAUAGCAUUUCCUCCUCUCCUGAGAGAAGUCUCCGUAUGAGAGCUGUGUUGCUCAGGAAGCCUCAAACCAUCUCUGAAUGUGACCAAAUUAUAACAGCUGUGUCUCCGGUUGACACAGGUCUAAGAUAAAGACGGAUUGACUUUAAGCUGGGAGUACAAAACUGCACAGAAGCAGCGAUGUGGAUUUACACCAGAUAGCUUUUAUUCCUUCAAGGAUACUCAGGGGGAGAUGAACCAUGAGAUACCCACAAAUCGUGCUGAAGUCAGAAGACAUUUGGCCCAGACACUUCAGGGGGCUGAAAUGAGACUUUCCUCCUUCUUCUUCUUCUUUUUUUUAAACAAGAGAUCUUUGCAGUUUUGAAACAAUCCGUACAGUUAGCAUUGAAGAAAGUGUAAUUAGACACUUGGAGGACUGGAAGAAAUUAACUCCAACCACAGGCUGUCACUCAGACCAUUAUUUAAUUAUUCUCCCCAAAUGCGCAAAGCACUUAGUUUUAGAAUAACAGGAAAGAAGUCUAACUCCUCACCAACAGCUCAGUCUCUGGAUGGGGACACAUGCACAUAAAGCCAAUGGGCUCCCAAGCCAUAGGAUGGGGACAGGAACAAGCGCCUUGGGCACAACUUUGGGCUCUGAAGGAUGUGAUUGAUGCCUGAAUGGCUGGAACCCAGUCAACGGGAGUGCCCAGCCCAAGGUGCAACAGGCUGCGGGAGAGAAGAUCGCCUUCAGUUUCCAACAUGCCAAGGAAACCACUGAGAAAUUGCUGUUUUCCUUCUUCUGCAGCACCGGGCAGAGCCGUUGACUCACCCCUCGCUACAGAAGCCUGGCUAGAAAGAGAUUAUUGUGAUUUCUGACUGUUUCUUUCCUAACUACAAAAGGCCCCAUUCAUCUGGGCUAAUUUUGACGGGAGAGCAAGGGGUAUCAGUAGCAUGAACUGUAUCUGAGCGUCUCGACCGCAUUUCAGCAAGCCAUGCUUGUUGGCCAGUUCCAGCCAGUGAAAUGGAUAUCCUCCAUUUCAAGCUUUUUAGUGGAUCGUUUCUCUGGUUCUAAACAGAGGUAUCUUUUCUGGCCGUGGCAAGUUUGAGAAGUACUGACGAAGCAGAGACGGCCAUUUUCAUGGCAGGAACAAGAGGCCAUUUAAAAAGGGGGAAAGGGCUGUUCUGCUCGAUCAGUGCACCAGCAUUUGUCUACCUACAUGCACCAUGCAUGUGCACCGAGGCUGGGCCCAGAACAGUGAAUCUCUGCCUUAUUUCCAAGGUCUGAACAAAACAUACUUUUAUUUUUAUUUUUUGAAAAUGCUAAAUUUGCUUAAUUGCGAGCCUUUGUGGAGCUCAGCUGGGACUGCCUGCGUGUGUGGGAAGGGCUGGAACGUAAUUGCUUUCAGCAGAUAUCACUGUAGUCUGUAAUUAAAACAUAUGAGGCUGCCAGCUUCAGAUUUUCUAAGUGAUUUCAUCUGUAUUUGGGUGAUCACCUCUCUCUGAGAGGCUCAUAUUAAAUGAUAUUUCAAGUUCCAGUGCACCAAAUGGGUGAAAAACAAUUUUGUCCUCUCCUUCUUGUAGUCUCCAAGCAAGUCACCUAGGCAGCUUGGAGAGGCAGAGCUCAGACCUCAUACGCACAUCCCUUCACCAGGGAAAUGCUUGGUGAAAGCUGCUCAAGAAGUGCUGCUCCAGAGACAGAGCGGAAGGUGUUGAUAAAGCUUGUUAAAGAAAAAGGAAGGGGGGAAAAAAGGCUAACAAAAAAAAUCUGGCACCUCCUAAAUCAGAGUGACAAUUUCAGUGCAGUGUUUACAUGAGGUAGUAAAAAUAAAUUGCCUGAGACUGAUUAUACCCACAUGGCACUCUAAAGGCAACAGGGAUGUCCCCCAGUAUCAGAAACCCAACACGGGGGAAAUACGUGAUGAUGGCAACCCUCAGCCCAUUGGGGCCAGCACUGCUUUGUUACUUGCCUCAAUAGGUGGAAGCAGCAGUGAGAAGAGGGAUCUGCAACUCCCCACAGAUAGACAUGAUCGCCCCAGGAGCCAUGGUUGGCUUACAAGGCCACUGCUGUUGAGUCCUACAAGGGCUGUAGACAAAGGAGCGUGUGGGUUUGGGGCAUCCUCAAGCUUGGACAACAUACGCCUGCUGGAUCAAAAUGGGUAAUGGAAGAAGGCAAAGAUGAUAGCAUCACUGUUAGAAUUGUAAUGAGUCACAAAUGCUAUUUUGAUGGUUUUCUUUGAAAGACAUGCACAAGAGCCAACCGAUGUAAUUGAAGAUCUCCAAGGCUUUGUAAUCAGCACGGCCACAAACGAAGGCAAACCUACUUUCAUGUGGUAGAAUACAAGAGGAGGUUCCCCAUGAAAAUUAAAAAAAAAGGGGGGGGGGGGUGGGGAAAGAAAGAGAAAAAAGAAAUUUUGAAGGGUUUUGUUUGUAGUGAUACCAGGACAUGAAGGACAUGCAGCCCCCAGAAUGACUGCAACAGCCUUCACGGCUGAGAUGUUUAAACCUAAGGAAUAGGAUGGGUCACUCAGCAGACAGUUUUUAUUCUUGGCAAGUAAGCUCUGAGCAUGGGGAAAGUGAGCAUUUUUGGCCUACGUGUGACCACCUGGGACUGAUCUGCUCGGAGGAGCAGGAAACACCAUGCAGUUGACCUGAUAGAAAUAGCUGCUGUUUCCUUUGCAUCCCAUCACCACGGGGCUGUGAGGUGCACCGUACCCCUGUGUGCAUCCAGUGUUUGCUGAAAAACAUCAGGGAAAUGGCGAGAGGGUGGAUUAAUCUGCCUGAAGAAGCUUGUGAUUAAUGCAACUUGGAUGGUGCUGUGGGAAGGCGGAUGGCUUGAAAAGAUGGAAGGAAGUCUGAGGCUGUCCUGGCUUGAUACUAUAUAUGGUCUUUGGUCAGUUCUGCCUCAGAGACUGCAGCCAGAAUCAGAUUUUUACUGUAUUUCUUUUGAAAGCGGAAAAAUGCUUGAAUAAUUUCACCCAGCUCAAAGAGCUGAGACAGAUAGGUCCAACAGUAAUCCAAGUGGUGAUGGAUGGGUCCACCAGCGAUCCCCGCUAUGAACUGGCUGCACCAGCAGGAUGAUUUCUCAGAGCACGAGCUGUGAGUUUGACCAAGUCCCUUCCAGCAGCCCUACUUAGGCUGCAAAGCCCCAGAGAUUUGUGCUUUCAUGCAGAUCCAACCUGCACUGAUAACCAGCACUGCUGAACGCGCUGGAACAUCCCCCCUCCCCACCCCUUUUUACAUCUGCUCUACAUUUGCAUCUCAGAAAUUAGAGAACUGAGCUAUGCAGAAUUACAGAGCACGGGCUGGAGUAUGGAACUGAUUGGGUAUUCAGGCUAAAUAAGACGAGUUUAAAGAUCUUUCCAGGAAAUUGAGUGGAACACCCAAACUGACAUUCAGUAUUAAAUAUUAUAUUUGUGCAGUUGCUCUCCAUAGCCCGUUGGCACUGAACAUCUGGGAGCACGAUUUAUAACAUACAGAAACUGAAUACCUGCUCAAAAUUAUGCUCAUCAGAGCUCAGAAAUUAAAAUAUUACCCUGUACACUCCGAGCCACUCCAUUCCUAAAAGGUAAGGCUAUUAAAAUAUGAUUAGCUGAGCCAUAUCUGGUCUCAGAAAUGUCAUACACCAUUACAACUGAAAAGACUUUGAUGCAAUGCUGUUGGCAAAGCCCCCUGCUUGAUCAGCAGCAAGAUGCCUAAGAAUGAACCUUGCAAAUACUUGCCCCAGCAUCAGGAGGGAAAUGCAGAAGAGAAGGGGAGCUGCUGGUUGGAGAUGCUGGAGUGGUUUGGGUCUUCUAUUUAGGGUAGGCAAGAGCUGAAAGCUUGAAUGCUAUUAUUAUUAUUAAUAUGGAAAGAGUCCCGCUGCCCUUUGCUGUCCAUUGCAAUGGGCUUCUUAUCCUUGCCCAGUACAGAGGUAGCCCCAUUGCUGUCCCCAGCCAUCGCUGCUCCCGGCCCUGCGCUGCCACAUUUCCAAGAGCACUCCAUGGGUGGUCGGGGUCACAUUUCCCCUCUUGUUGGAGAAUAAAAUCCAAACAACAGCCACAGAAAACCUGUAGGCACUGGGCUCAGGUUGGGGUGAUUACAAUCCUCUGCUUCUUGCAAUGCAAGAAAUUAUAUAUGCAUAUAUAGAAACACAUGCAUAUAUCUUGUAGAAUACCAGUUAGAAUGAUAGAAUUAUAUAGGGAUAUAAUGACAUAUUAUCUAAUCUAUACAUUAAAAUGAUGUUAUAUUUAUGUAAAAUCUUUCGCAAUACAUGAUUGUCUCUCCCAAUGAGGCAUUGAACAGCAUUCACCAUUAAACAUUCCUAUGCUGGUAUCUCUGUAAGGGCUCAGCUGGGGAUGGUCCCCCCAGGUCUGGGGCACUCAGCUCUGGCCAAAGCCUUCCCUAGGGCUGGCCAUGUAAUCCCAGCCAUGAUGCCUCAGCCCUAUUACCCUUUGCCCACCCCACAGCCAGCAGAAUUCCCUUAUAUUGAAGCCUGCAUGCCCCGGCCCUGCGGGAGCUGCCUCUCCCCGCCUUUGUCAGGGCUUAUUACUCCAUGUUUUCACACUUAUCCCCAAGGUGUUGAACUCACCCUGAAGGUUAAUUAGUAAUUUAUUGCGCUGUCAUCAGUUGGAGGCUACUAAUGGCUUCAAUUUAGCCCUAGGGCUCUUUUUUUUUUUUUUUUUUUUCUUUCUUCCUCCCUUCCUUUCCUCCUGCCUGCUCUGGAGAAGCUGGAAGCUGCAGUGCAUGGGAAAGCAGCAGAACUACCAGCUGGAAAUAUGGUCUCAAGGGGCUGAAGGUGGCUCUGGGUGCUGUCCUGUAUCCCUGGCCCGGUCAGCAAGAAAGCAAUUUAAAUCAAUUCACCAGAACGGCAAAGCUGAGAGCACGUGCCUGUGCCUGUGCUUAGCAACAUCACCAGCUGCUAUAGCAGGACAGCCUGCAUAGCAUAGAGGAUGGCACACCGACCCCACCACCUGACCUCUGGGCAUCUGCUUUUUGCACUGCACACCUGCAAGGCUCAUUGCUGAGCAAUGGGAGCCUCUGUGGUUGGAGCUGAUGAGGGAUGGGUGGCAAUAAGGAGCUGUUCUGCCCAUCCCAUAAUGCCCCUCCAGCAUGCCUCAAUUUCUCUCCCACCCCAUCAUAGUGAUACCAAACAGAGUCCCCAGGAUGGCACACUGUGCCCCCCUGCUGUGUGUCACCCCAUGUCCCCACCAGCCCUGUCCCGAUGAAGUACCUCUUACAAAACAGCCAUGCACUGAUUUCUUUUCUUAAUUAUUUUUUGGAAAAUAACCGAAUAACCCCAUUUCCUGUGUUUAUACAGACCAUUAGGUAAACCAGCCACGGGAAGGGGGAAGAGAAGGGAUGCGGGAUGGAAGCGAGCUCUGCAGCCAGGUCAGGGAGGGUGGGGGGGGGGGUGGGUUAGCUGCAGGGGAGGUGACACAUGAGUGUGUUCCACUGGGGACAGCUGGCAUGUGAGGCCUCACCUGGGUGACAACAGCAGGAUGGUGCCUGGCAACCCACUGGGCUCAGUGCAUCCUCCUUGCUGGACUGGGAUUCAAGGGGGAGAAGGCUUGGGAGAAGGGAAAUUGAGUGAUAUUAGGGGAAAGGGGACAAAUUAGACCUCAUCAAGCAUGCAGCUUCUACAAAAAGGGCUGUGAUGUGGCUCUUGCAACGUGCACAAGCCAAUGGCAGAGCAAGGCAGCAGGAUGCUCACGUCAGGUAAGAGUGAAAGGGAAAGGUGCAUUUCUCAGAAGAAUGAGACCCAAUUGCCCACCAGAAAGGAAGGAGGCAUGGACAUCACUUUGGAUUUUGAUGAAAAAAAAAAUAAGAAAUAAAAGAAAACCUAUAUUUAGCUUCCGACUUCAGACACAGCGUGAGGAUUCCUAUAGUAACAUCUGCUAUUCCCCUCCCCUGUUUAAUUUAUGGCCGUUAACUUUAGGGCUAAGGACAGUUUAUGGAAAAAAACACCUGCUUUCUCCUACUCCCAGGGCAAGGGUGGAAUUUUCUCUGACUCUGCAUCCUAAAUAAAGCUCCGUUCCAGGCCCCGAUGAUUCAUAGCACGGCUCAUGCACACAUGCCUUAUGUUAGGAGGCCCUGUCAGAUGCUCAUGCCCCUUUCUCCAGGACUCAAGCACGGAGUUCAUUUAUACACAUCACUGGGGCCAUUCUGGGGGAAACCUGAGCCCAGAGGUCCCACUGUGCCCACCUCCUGCAGAAAAGCUCUGUCCACGUUAUGGUCAGUGGGAUUGCAGUAAAUCCUCCCAGACUGGACCUGAUUUUGCUGCUUCCCAGCAAAGUGCAUCUUCUCCAAAUGCACCUUAAACAUGCACCGAGCUCAGCCCUUGCUCUGCUUGCUCAGCAAGGCAGUAUGUCAUCCCUCCAACAAAGAUCCCUGGCUCUGCUGCUGUCAGCAUGAAAGAUGGCCCCAAGCUUUCACUCAGGGUUGCUUGUCAAGAAGUAAAACACAUAAGGAAAAAAAGAUAAAGCUGAAAAGAAAGUAAAAAUGGGAAUUGUUGGCAGCAAAAGGAAGAUAAAACACGCACGCUCAUCCAAGCUCAUGUCUGAAAACUGAUAGGCAGCACUCACACAGCAUACAAAGACCUCCCACAGAGUGCAGUGCUGUGAUCUGGAGCAUCCUGCAGACCUGAAGCCCCAACGAGACUUUGCCCACCCCACGAUGCACCCUUAUGGGGUGGGGGCUCCUCAUCAUUCAGAGCUGGGAGCAAAGCGUGGUGGUGGUGGUGGAGAGAAGGCUUUGACUAAUCUUGUAACCUUUCCUUUUAGUGUUUAAGAGAACCGAAGUCUGUUUACAAUAAAACAGAGUGAUAUUUUUCAUCCUUCCAAAUGGAACAAGGGUUAUAUAAACAAAGUAACCUCAGACACAGCAAACACCUGUUGGAGGGAACUGGCUCACAAAGACACACACAAGCUAUCUGUCUAUCUAUCAAGGCCUCCCGUUGACUUGUGGUCAAGUUCAAGUUGAAGUGCACGGCACAGAUUUGCUGAUGGAAGAAGGCUGCGAUAAGCAAAAGCAUUAGUGAGCGCCCAUGGUUUCUGCUCCGGAGGUUAGCAGAGCAGCAAGGAAUAGUUUAGGUCUGAAUGUACCCAAAUAAUUUCUCAGCCAGAUUGGAGCAGUUUUCCCUGUUCUCUGGUAUCUCACUUCCAAGAAGAAACCCCAAAUCAGGAAGUUAUGGAAUAAACUGUUGCAAAUCUCCCUGUCUUCCUUCUACUCCCUAGCUCAUGUUUCAGUCCUGCACCAAAAUAUGUAGGCUUUGAUUUCUUCCAAACUGCUGCGGUUUUGAUUUUUCUCCCGAAGUAAUCAAACUGAAUGCAACUGUGUGCACAUGAUCCUACAGGCAGGCCAAUGAAAUCAUUAAGCCUUUGGGCUUCAAUGGUGUCUUGUGGUGGUGGGUUCCGCAAAUUAAUUAUGCAUCUCUUGCUGCAAUAUGAGGCUCCACUGCAUCUUUGCUAAUUACCAACCUAAUGCAGCAAGAUCAGUUGUGUCAUUUCCUUUUAUUCAGCCUUUUUUUUUGUUUCACAAAGGUUUCUCAAAACCACCCGGAACUGUGCCAGGAAGUCCUACACCUGUGAUCCAGCAAUGACUUAGGGUGAGCUCUAAAGUAAUGCAGAAAUCACAGAAUCACAGAAUUGCAGGUGUUGGAAGGGACCUCCAGAGUUCAUGGAGUCCAACCCCAAAUGGAAGACAUCCAACAACCCUGGCUUGGCCUGCUGUGCUGUCGGGUCCUCCUGACAUCCCUUCAGCACAGAAGCCUGUGGGGAGAUAAUCCAGGAGAUACCGCAGCAUCCCGCAGUAGGGAGGUUAGUUUGAUGACUUGCUUUAUUGUGUGGCAUGAUUGGAAUUGGUGAAAUGAGCGCAGACUUUUCCAAAAGCCAGUCAGAAGAAGACGUAGCCUUCUCCAUCCUGAGGAAUGACAUUCCCCAUGAACCGGGAGAAGAAUUUUCAAAGCUAUUCAAAGUCAUGACAGUUUGAUCCUCAUUUUAGUUUUUCCUCUUCUAAUAGCAGGACAGAGAAAUAUUAUUCAUUCCAGCACACCACGAAGCAGAUUUCUCAUACAACAGCCUAGUUCCACUGAAGCCGUGGAUGCACGCCAGCCUGCGCCUAUUCAAGCAUCUAGCUUCAUAUCUUUGCAUCUUGGCUUUCAGCAGGUCUGCCUCAAUGAAGUUGAGGAAGACUCCAGCAGAGCACCAACCACCCAUCCACCUGACAUCCAAUCCCAGUUGAUAACUUUACGUUGCACACUGGGACUGGAGCUGAUAACAGGCAAAGAGAAAGGCUCUCUUCCACUCUGUGCAUGGUUGUAACUCUUCCGAAAGCUUUGCUAAAAAAACAUUUUCCCACCUGUAAUGAGAGAGGCUGCCUUGUUUGCCUGGGCUUUGUAAGUGCGUGCUGACAGGUUGUGUGUAAUGUCAUCUCCCUGUUCUUAGCCCUGUUCCAAGUUCGGAAAUCCAGAGGGAGGAAUGGGGACUGCUGUGCUGGAAGGGGAGGGGGCUGUUUCAUUUCUAAGUUUUUGCAUCAUUGCCUGAUUUUUCAGAAGCUUUCAGACACCAAGAAAAGCAUAGUUUAUCCCAUACAUUGCACUCAAAUCAAACCAAACAAUAACCUGAAUCAACCUUUAUCAUCGUAUCAUAGAACCAUAGAGUCACAGAGUCAUACAAUCAUUUGAGUUGGAAGAGACUUUAAAGGCCAUCUAGACCACCUCCCCUGCAAUGAGCACUGAUAUCUACAGCUACACAUCAAACCAAGACACGAUGCUUCUGUGGCAAAGCAGGGCAGAGAGGGUUGCUCUUGGUCCUAACCCAACAGGUUGAUAUAGAUGAUGGAAGUCAUGUUGUUCUCCAGGCCAGCAAAUAUUUGUGGUCACUUGGUACUCAGUUCACUAUCAACACACAGUGGUCUCUGCACUCAUUUUACAUAAAAUUGCCCAAGUGUUUUUACAUGUCUAUCUCUAUUCUAUGUAUUUUAUGUAUUAAUUAAUGCUUACAACCCACUUGGGUCAGAAAAAUGAGUCUUGGAGAAAGUGAUUUCUUAGCUGCACAUUUCUCAUCAUUUCCAGAUCUUGCUCCACCUCACUGACUUUGCAUGAUGUUGCACAGCCAUUCCCUUCCCCUUCUCUUGAAUCCGUUCUCAGCACACGGGCAUUUCACAAAGACACCCACUGCCCAGCUGUAUCAGGCCUUGGCCACACACAACUGCUCUUAAUUUGUACCAGUCUCUCUUAUCUAUCUAGUCAGCAGUAUUUAAGGAGCAUAUUAACUGCAAUUUGGCUUCCUGGCUGCGUGUAGGACAUGCUUUCUGCCCUGUUCUUUGCUCUUUUGGUUUAUCUGACUUUUCUGUGGAACACUCCAUGUACAUGCUGGGAAGCAGACAGUAAGUCACAAAGCUCUUAACAUUUUCUCUUUGUGAAGAAAUCUGGCAUUUCAUCUUUAAAUACUUAUUCAACUUGUUCCUUAGUAUAGUCUUAAUAUAGCUCCUUUACUGCGUUCCAGUAACAGCCAGGCACCAUGUCAUAAGAGUGACUCAUCUUCUUAUCCAAGACUAUACAUACUCCUUACAAAAACACACAGCUGAGCACUCUUAAAUAUUUAUCUCAUCCCCAGAAGAGAGAUAGGCCCAGUAUCGUUAGGUCUGAGCCAGCGUUUGUGUCCAGGUUUAGAUCCCAAUUUCUCAGCUUAUGCUGUACUUUCUAGGAGGGUCAGAUCAGAGCAACUCUACUCAGAAGUCUUUGUGCUGUUUCCUGCACAGGGUUGGAAAAGAAUUCCCAUUCCUGUCUUGGGAACUUGGAUGAACAGAGCAAAGCAAGGACACAAGGUGCGUGCAGCAUACACUUUGUAUGCUCAUUCCUGAAGCAGAUUUUUAAGAGACAGGAGGAUGCUUGGGUGCCACGCAACCCAACAUCUCAGAGGUCCCAUUGCCAGCAGGAGCUCUGGGAGGAGAGAACACGACUGCACCACCAGCUCCGAGUUUCUAAUGUGGCAUUGUAAGGUUGACUUGCUAUGGAUCAGGUCAGACCAAACUCUGAGCCCACUUCCACUGAUUUUGCAACAUCGCAAAAAGCAGUGACGUUAGCCAAGUCAUUUCCAUAUAAACAAGAACAAAAUCAAGUGGAUGAAACUUGGAUCUGGACAGGGGUGCUCAGAUCCAACUUGCUGGCUCGAGCUUUCCUGUAACUAACGUCCAACUUGGGCAAUGAGAGCAACAGAGCACAACUUGCAUGCCUAUCUCUCCUUUCCCAGCCUGUCCAAGGAGUCAUCGUUGUCCCAGGCAACGACUGCCGUUCCUAACACUCAGUGCUUUCUGUAUUUACACAGACACACUCCCUCAAGGUCACCUUUUGGCUGCUUCCUUCCCAUCUCCUGGAGCCCAGCAUUAUCUCUGCUGAUUGCUUCCAAUUAUAACACAUUCUUGAUUUUUUGACUUUUUAGAUAACAUUGGAACUUCUUCCAAGCUACUCUGUCUUCCUGCCAGUACCUUUUCAAUCUGAUGGGAGAUGAGUGCAUCUCGUAUCUCACAAGACUGACUCCUAACUCUAGGCAUUGGGGCAUAAUACCACUGUGCCAAAACAUUACAUAGAACUCAACACUGGGAUAAUACAAAGAGUGUUGUAAAUUAAUAGCUGUUCGCAACACAUCGAUACUAUCAUCAAUACUUUUGUUUUCAGGGUUCUUGGAAAGCCAAGCUGUGAAGGUACAGACUAAGAAAAAAAAUAUAAAAAAAGCAGACUGGAAUAAAAUAACUGCUCCUUGAGCUGCCUCUUGCAGAUCCUUGUUGGGCAGGCUGGCUGCCUGGCGAUGGAGUUCCACACAGCUCUGUGCCUCUCACUGGUAUCUAUGGGCUAACGUGGGAGCAGCCACUGUAACUCAACUUCAAGCAUUAGGGGCAGAUGAUCCAUACUGAUCCAGGCAGCCCUACCAAAGGAUCACAAGCCCGGACGUGCUCUGGAUGAGCAGCUAUGACUGCUUUGUCUGCAUCAGGUCCUGGAGAGCUCAACCACAGCCCUGGCCACCACCUCCUGGCUCUGUCCCUCCACCUUCACCUUCCCCCUCCGGUUCCCCAUUCCAGCACAACUGAGCUUGGCUCUGCCUCCCCAUUCUUCAGACAACAACAUGCAGCUCUGCCUAAGCUGCUGAGAAACCUUGAGCUGUGUUUCAAAAACCCCACUCCCACCACAGCCAGAGUCAGUGGCUGCAAGCCUCACCCAAGCCAACAGAGCAGCACGGAAAGACACCACCUGACUUACUUGGCUCUAACCCUUUGAUUAUUGACUUCAAUGGGAAGAAACGCUGGGCCUCCAUGACUUCUUGCUGACCCCAGAAGAAGUUUAAGCAACAAACUGUUCUCUUGUCCUCUGCAGCUCCCAGAGGAGCUCCCAGUGGAACAGACCACGAGUGUGUGCAAGGUAAGCAGCCCAGCGUUUGGAGAGCACAACAACGCCAAGGCUGAGAAUGCUAAUUGUUCUCCAUUGCCCCCAGUGAUUUUAGCAUUUCAUAACUCCUCUGCUGGCUGACAGCUGGAUUCUUCUCUAAUUAGAAACCAGUUGUAGCUGAAAAAUCAGACAUUUCCUGGAAUUUAAAUAGCCAGUUUUCCACCAGUCAGAAUCCAGCAACGCAACCGUACAGUCCUGUUCUAAUCAUGCUGGGGAGCACAGUGGAUAAGUAGGGAAAAGGGGAUUCUGAGGACUUGACUUUCCUGCCUUCAGAUACACACAUUCCUGGAUCUUCACAUUCCGGCUAAUCUUGUAAGCUGAUAAUUUUAUUUUUAAAGAAGGAAGUAAUACUAUUCAUCGAUGCAACUGCAAUUCAGUCUUUUUCAAUUCUUCAAUACUGGGGAUAAGGCUGUUAAAGACAGAACUGGCAGCUGACGAUACGAUUACUCAUUUAUUCUUUAGGAAACACAUUUACUAAUAACUAAAGCAGAAUUAAUACUGAUUAUUUCCUUAGCUGAUUGAUGCAGGACCGGACCACUUUCUCUCUGUUGCAAGUUGCUAUGGUGGUAAGGAAUAAAAAACUCAGAACUCCUCCACCUUCAACUAUCGAAAAGGCACAAGGAAAAGGAUUUGGACAGCUGCUGGUCUCCAGGAAACUCCACAAGCAGAGAUCGUCAGCCCUGUAAUCCUAAUUACAUCCUUGGGGACUGACAGAGAAGACAGACCUGAACACACACCAGUGCAGGCAGGAACAGCAACACCGUUUGACAGCCCAUCUUCUCAGCUGCUCUUUUCCGUUCCAGAGCACACAAAUGUAUUUUUCAAUCUAUCUCCUGUGGUCGUGGGAGAAAAAUAAUCCUUCAGCUGUGUGUGAUUAAAAAGGGCAAUGCUUGAGUUUGCAAGCAGCCUGAAAAGGGCUGGUAGAGGUUUGGGAGCUUGCCUGUCCCUGUGAGCUGUGUACCAAGGCCUUCUGAAGGGAUGUCACUUAGCUGCAUCUUUGCCUUCAUUAAGAGAGGACAACCAUAAGUAGAAAUGGGCACUGUGUACUUAAUGUGACCUCUGAAUAUGUGAUGAUGACAUGAAGAGCUGCCCCAGACUGAAAACCCUGACGCAAGAGCUCAGAUGUGAUUGCACCUGGGGCAUCUGCAUACCAAGUAAUUUCCAGAGAAAGUUAUUUUAUUUGUGAAAGAAAUUUACUUUCUCAAAAAGUAACAACCUAUAUUGCUUUUUGUUUCUUCUCUCUUUCCCUUGAGGCAGCAGGGUUUCCCCCAGAAUAUCUCAUUCUCAUGGCCUCGUCUAUUUUGUCAUCACGUGAGAAGCUCACAAAUGAAAUCCACUGUCAGAGUCUUCUGCCGGAAUCAGAACCUUUCAUUCCAAGAGGAUGGAUCAACAGAUCACCUUUGGCUCACCAAGAGAAUCAAAGAAUCACAGAAUGAUGGGUUGGAAAGGAUCUCAAAGAUCAUCCAGUUCCAGCCCCCUGCCAUGAGCUCCCCCAGCCACCAAAUCAGUCUCUAGAGCAUCUCUAGAGCCCGUGGCCCCGUCCAUUCUGGUCUUGGGCACCUCCAGGGAUGGGGCACCCACAACCACUCUGAGCGACCUGUACCAACACGAACCUCUCUUUUACUCACAAAAAAAGUGCAGUGCUUUGGGCAAUGGCCUCCUGGAAAGCAUCUGGAGAGGCAGCAGGUAUUGCACAUACACACAGACAGAGUCAAACCAGAGGCAUUUGCACAUCUGAGACCUUACAGCAUUAUUCCAUCUCCAGCUCAUUUAAAGCACAGGUGAGAAGCUGUGGCAAAUGCUCUGGAAACGACACAGAUCAUCACGCUCUACAGUUUGUCCCCAGACAGCAUCCUGUCCAACGCGUGGUUUGCCAGAUGCAUUUAAAAAGCUUCCUUGGCCUUCAGCAAGGAAAAGAGAAAACAAGGAAGAACACCUGUUUUAAGGAAUAGCAGCAAUUCUGGAGAGCAUAUGCAGAGGCUUCCAGAGGGGUUUUAAAAUGGGCUUGUCAAGCAACAUAAAUGGAACUGUUAUUCCUAAAGUUUAUUCUGAGAUUUAUGGAUACUUAACCCAUAAGCCCACAGCAAACAAACACUGCAUAAAAGCCCCAUGGGUAAACAGAAAUAACAAAGCCCACAUAGAUCGCUAUGGUUGCAUUGGAGGAAAUCUCUUUGGAAGAGGCUGCUUGACUCACGCUCAACCUUUCUGCCCAUGCACAGCUUCCUAUAGCAUGCAGGAGGAUAUAUUUCAUCUGGUGGGGGCUCUGAUGCCUGUCCAGCAAAUCCACGAUGCCAAGCUAAACCUUCGCCUGGUUAUUAGUGCUUGAAAGAGGCAUUGCAAAAAGUUUCAAAGUAAAUUCUCUGGAAGCCCAACAAGAGCCCACACUUCCCCCUGUAGUGCGUUCAUGGCGAGGAACCCAGCGAGGAGAAAUCACCGUGACCCCAUCCUCGUCAGGAAAAAUAAAUACAUUUUCUUCCAUCCGAGCUGCAAUCCUGCGUGGAACAAUUUAAGCCUUUCCUGCCGCCUCCAGACAUUGAGGGUAAGGUGUUAUGAGUGUUACUCUCUGGAACCAGGAAUGAAAGCUUCCAUCCACCCUGCUGCUGCUGAGCUGCCUCCAGCCCAGCUUGGAGCCUUCACUCUGGGGGAAAAGAGGAAACCAUCUGGCCUUGUGGGAUGCCUAAAGCGCUCAGUCUUUUAGCCAGAAAGCUGCUCUUACAGAAAGCUGUACUGCGUGAUGACUACAGGACAUCGCCGUGACCUGAGCAACCCUGUGUAGCUUCAAAGCUGAUCUUCCUUUGGCUGGCACCAGAGGGUCUCCAGAAGUCCCUUCCAAGAUAAAUAUUACGUGGUUGUUACAACUGCUUUGGCAUAGGAAUCCCAGUAUUCAUAAGAUGAUAAAUCCCAGAGGUAGGCUCCGAUGUGCAAGCAGCUGAUGGCACAGCAUGGCCCUGCCCUAGGAAGCAGCACAGACUGGGAAGCAAACAAACUGGGGAGAUUGGAGAUAAGAAAGAGGAUUUUUAUGACAAAUGUGAUGAGGCACUAGAACAAGUUGCCCAGAGAUGCAAUACAAGCUAUCUGUGGAGACAUUCAAGGUCAAGCUGGACAGGGGCUUUGAGCACCUGAUGGAGCUGUAGCUGUCCCUGUUCAUUGCAGGGGAGUUGGACCAGAUGGCGCUUAAGGGUCCCUUUCAACUCAAACAAUUCUACGUUAUGGAUCCCUUCUAACAAAAUAAAAUAAAAUAAAAUCCCGAAAUAAACCAGAAAUCCCUUUGAAGGACAUCCACAUCUUAACAUGAGAGGUUGGCAGGUAGCAACAGAGCUGCAGUAAAUUCCUGCAGACCUCCAGGCUUAUUUAUGAGGCAUCUCAGGCACUAUAAAUGGCUUUUAUUUUUGUGAAACAUGCCAGGAAAGGAGGGGGGGAGCUAGACAAAGGAAGGAGGGCUUUGCUUGAGAAGACACCCAAACAAGCUAGGAUGAAGAAGCUGUACAAUGCCCUGGAUGAGCAUCAGGCCCAUGUCCCGCUCCCCUGCGGAUCAUGGCUGGGAACAAGAGGCAGUGAGAACACUCAUUACUAUUGACCUUGUCCUCAUGCUGAUGCUAAAAAGCUGCUUCUCUACCCGCUGUAGGUGACCCUGACACGAGCCUUGAAGGAACAUCAGUAAGAGAUAUCCCAAUUAAAUCUAUUUGGAAGCUAUUCAGCACAUAUUUUCCCCUUUCCAAGACAGCAAGGCUGUGACUAACCAAAGACAUUUGGGAGAAGUUUUUGCUUUCCCUGGGCACAGAAUUUUGUUUUUAUUUCUUUCCUCCUUUAUAUUGGUGGGGGGGGGGGGAGGGGGGAAGGAUACCUGGACCAUUUCUGCAGCCCUUCUUCUCUUCCUUAGUUUGACUCUAUCCUUUAUUUUCAUUUUUUCACAAGCUCAGCCCCAAACUCAUUAGAGAGUAAAACCCUCCCUAGAAAUAUAGGCAAAAGAAAAAAAGGAAAAAAAAUAAGAAUCCUCAGUUUAUAAGCAAGCCUACACAGCUCAGGUGGUGUCUAAAAAGAGUUUGCAAGUCCAUCCUAUGAGCUCACCUACUGCCAUUGCUUGGUAUUGCAUACACUCAAUGCCAAACUCCUUCCCAUAUCGGUUAGAGGACCCCAACCAGAUGUUAGCCCUAAGCCAAUUGCACACCUAGCCAACUGUGUGCUGCUUUACCUUCAGAGCUAGAAAUGAUUCUUGCUGACUGCUACAAAAUCCUGCAUGUUUGGGCAUACCAGAAACACAUUUACCCUUUAUCAGAUUAGUUUUACAAUAGUCCUUUCCAUAUAUUCCAAUUAGACGCAUUUAUCACCAAAAAAAAAAAAAAGAAACAUCUAAAGGCUCUUUAUAAUAAACCUUAUUUAAAUCUACCCCACACUUUGGUUAAUUGUUUCUGAGUUAAGGAGCAGCUUUUUCCAUGAACAAUAGCAACGUGGGAAGAUCUCAGCACAUCACAGGAAACCUUGGGAGGAAGCAACCAAGACGAGCUGGAUGGAGAGCUCAUUUUGGUCCUUCCAGCUUCCUUUCCCAAUUCUUUUUUUACUGUCUAGGACUCUGAAAGUUUUGAUGCCAUCUCAGGAAUAAAAAAAUCUGUGUGUACAGACUACAAUAAUAACUGAAAAGACUAUCGUCUUGCAGCUCUGUGUAUUCUACAACAAUGAGCACUUCAACAAAUAUAAAUAAAAACAGCUUUUCCUCUUCUGACUUGUCCCAUGGAGAUUUCGUUGGGCCUCCACAUAAUCCAUGGGAUUUCUGAAGCUUUUAGUUUUAACCAAGUAAUUUGUACGACUGCCCGAGACGCUUCCAAAUGUGCAGUAACUGGAUUUUGGUACGCUCCCAACCGCCUAAUUAAAACCAUAGAAUAGAAUCAUUGGGCUUAGGUGAUUUUUAAUUCUUCUUUCUUCCUCCUUUUAUUUUUUAAUCAAAAGAAACCUUCUGAGUCACAUAUCCAGGGGAUUAUUCCAAACAGCACUUUGGAAAGGGCACACACUGGAAAUCCUAUAUAGCAGCAGAGGAGAGUUGUCACGCAUGUGUGUAGAGCUCGUUUAGACUGGAUGCCAAAGGUUACGGUACACACAGGAAAAAAUCAAAUUACUUAUGAUCCUCUUCUUACUGCAUCCCUGUCAGAAUGAUGUAAUGAGGAAAAGAAGAUUUCCCCUUCCAAAGUCUUAACGAGGAUUUUGGAACAACUGAUGAAGGAGCAGCGCUAGGGGAGCCCAGUGUUGAGGAGCACCAGCAAACAGUGCACAGCAAAGCCUCACACCUCAUGGGAGAUCUCCUUCAGAGGACCCCAACAGCCUGCUGCAGACUACCCUUCACAGGGGUAAACUCAAGCAACAAAAUGCAAAAGAUUUUCUCCAACAGAUGCAGCCUACUUGGAAACAGCAGCCCGUGAACAAGACGUGGCUUCUCUCCUUGCUGUGUCGAUACAGCCAGCAAUCAAGAUUUGGGCCUUUUAUUGUAAUUGUUCAGCACAAUAACACAGAUUGAAGUUUGGUUUUCGCGGUAUCUGGCUAGGCAUGUCGACCUGAUGUGGAUCAAAGGCUACAUGGUAGAAUUAAGCAAAUAUAAUCAGUGUAAUAUGAUUCAUUCUUGUCCUGCUGAGCAGAUGUUUGAACAGAUGUCAGGUGAAAAAAAAAUAUGUGCUGGGGAGUUAGCGCAUUAUUUUAAAUUAGUGCAUUUAAGAGACAGGAGUAUCUUUGUUAAUCCCGCUGAAGGUGAAAGCGAGUAUUUAUGACUUUGGUUGCUGGGAAGUUAUCCUCCCUUUGCCUUUUAGUGGCCAGCACUCUCCAGUUUCCCUAUCAGGAAGACAGCAGUGCUGGUGGGCUAGGAUAUUGGCCCAUCAGCUUGCUCGGCUUAGUUCUCCAUCAUCUUGGGAAGGAGCAUCUGAUGUGCUAAGUAAAGAGAGGGUUAAAUAUGGAGUCACUAUUGGCCUGUUAUGUGGAGAAGGUGGUCAGUUUGGAUUGCUAUACAGUUCCCAUCAUUAUACUGGGAGCUUGCUGCAGCACUUGUUCUCUGAUAAAAACACUUACAAAAAAC